rnacentral:rRNA from 1 species
UACAGAGGGGGGCUAGCGUUGUUCGGAAUUACUGGGCGUAAAGGGCGCGUAGGCGGCCCUCUAAGUCGAACGUGAAAUCCCCGGGCUCAACCCGGGAACUGCGUCCGAUACUGGAGGGCUCGAAUCCGGGAGAGGGAUGUGGAAUUCCAGGUGAUAGCGGUGAAAUGCGUAGAUAUCUGGAGGAACACCGGUGGCGAAGGCGGCAUCCUGGACCGGUAUUGACGCUGAGGCGCGAAAGCCAGGGGAGCAAAGCGGG